UACAGAGGUCCCGAGCGUUGUUCGGAUUCAUUGGGCGUAAAGGGUGUGUAGGAGGUUGGGUUAAGUCGGAUGAUUGAAAUCUCACCGCUUAACGGUGAAAUGGCGUUCGAUACUGCUCAGCUAGAGGAUCGGAGGGGAGAGCGGAAUUCUUGGUGUAGCAGUGAAAUGACGUAGAUAUACAAAGAGGAACACCCGGGUGGCAAGGCGGCUCUCUGGAAAGAUUCCUGACUCGUGAGACACGAAAGCUAAGGGGAGCAAACGGG
rnacentral:rRNA from 1 species